rnacentral:rRNA from 1 species
AGUGAACGCUGGCGGUAGGCCUAACACAUGCAAGUCGAACGGCAGCACAGUAAGAGCUUGCUCUUACGGGUGGCGAGUGGCGGACGGGUGAGGAAUACAUCGGAAUCUACUUUUUCGUGGGGGAUAACGUAGGGAAACUUACGCUAAUACCGCAUACGACCUACGGGUGAAAGCAGGGGAUCUUCGGACCUUGCGCGAUUGAAUGAGCCGAUGUCGGAUUAGCUAGUUGGCGGGGUAAAGGCCCACCAAGGCGACGAUCCGUAGCUGGUCUGAGAGGAUGAUCAGCCAAACUGGAACUGAGACACGGUCCAGACUCCUACGGGAGGCAGCAGUGGGGAAUAUUGGACAAUGGGCGCAAGCCUGAUCCAGCCAUACCGAGUGGGUGAAGAAGGCCUUCGGGUUGUAAAGCCCUUUUGUUGGGAAAGAAAAGCAGCAGGUUAAUACCCCGCUGUUCUGACGGUACCCAAAGAAUAAGCACCGGCUAACUUCGUG